AGGGAUUGCCCCAGUAACGGCGAGUGAAGCGGCAACAGCUCAAAUUUGAAAUCUGGCUCUCGGGCCCGAGUUGUAAUUUGUAGAGGAUGCUUUUGGUGAGGUGCCUUCCGAGUUCCCUGGAACGGGACGCCAUAGAGGGUGAGAGCCCCGUCUGGUUGGACACCGAUCCUCUGUAAAGCUCCUUCGACGAGUCGAGUAGUUUGGGAAUGCUGCUCUAAAUGGGAGGUAUAUGUCUUCUAAAGCUAAAUACCGGCCAGAGACCGAUAGCGCACAAGUAGAGUGAUCGAAAGAUGAAAAGAACUUUGAAAAGAGAGUUAAACAGUACGUGAAAUUGUUGAAAGGGAAGCGCUUGUGACCAGACUUGGGCUUGGUUGAUCAUCCGGGGUUCUCCCCGGUGCACUCUUCCGGCUCAGGCCAGCAUCAGUUCGCCCUGGGGGAUAAAGGCUUCGGGAAUGUGGCUCUCUCCGGGGAGUGUUAU
rnacentral:rRNA from 1 species